ensembl:ncRNA F08G5.14 ncRNA
AGACUAUAUCUCUUGAGAAAUGACCUCGAGAAUCUCAUCCAUUUCAAAUGUCGUCUGAGGUGGAAUCCAGUCAUCCUUUCUCUCUUUUUUUCCGGGAAAAAGAGAAAGAAAGAAGAGGAGCUUCACUUCAAAUUUGUCGCGCCUUUCCUUUUCUUUUCCUGCUUUUCACCUACUUUUGGGUCCCCCGGUCUGGGGUUC